rnacentral:tRNA from 1 species
UCCCUGGUGGCUCAGAUGGCAAAGCAUCUGUUUACAAUGCAGAAGACCCAGGUUCGAUCCCUGGGUCGGGAA